GAGAGACAAAGUGCCCCCUGAGAGAGUA
rnacentral:piRNA from 1 species